ensembl:lncRNA
CCUCAGAAGGAUUAAUUACUGAUUCAAAUAAUUUGAAUAUGAGAUUUUGAUUUAUAUUGUUAUUUAAUUGCAGGUCUCACCUUCCUCAUAAAAGCAGUGUCACCCAAGAGUGUGAUAAUUGUCAUGCUUAUUGCUUUAAUGAUAUAAGCAAUUCUUCAUGUUUCACCAUGUGUCCCUUCAUAUAAAGCUAGGUGCUAUGGUGGAGGUGCUGAAGAACUCUGACGAGGUGGACCAGCUGGUGCUCAGGAACACGGGUUUGACUGACACGCUCUUGCAGGACUUGGCAGACGCUCUGAAGUCCAGCUUGUCGGAAGUCACCAUGAUCAACCUCAACCUCAACCACAUUGGGCCCUCUGGAGUCAACACUCUGUUAGAGCUCAUACGGAGCAAACCGCAUCUCAAGAGCCUUUUCAUAUUCGGGAACCAGCUGGGUGAUUCGGGAGUUCAGGCCCUGCUUCUUGGUUUAGCUGAAUUACAAUAUAAAACGAUUUGGGCCACUGAGGCACCUUCACAGUCUGAAGCAACACCCGCGGCCACGGUAGAGCCCCAGUUGCCGGCCUUCACGGGUUUCAGUCUCCGGGAGCUGGACCUGGGUGGCAACAGCAUGGGCGGAGCCGGCCUGCGAGUCCUGGCCACCUACCUGAGGCGGCACUCCCAGCUACAGUACCUGGGCUUGGGCCAAACCAGUGACCCUGAUGGUGCAGCAUGGGCGGAUCUGUUUGAUAGUCUGAAAGCAAAUGCUCAUCUUGCUCACAUUAUUUUAGACGAAUGUGGCCUAGGGGACCACGGGGUGAAACUUUUUGCUGAAGCUCUGAAAGCAAGCAUGAGUCUGAGCAAAGUCGACCUGGAUGGGAACGGUAUUGCUGAAUCUGGGGGGAAUGCGAUUCUGGAAGCUUUGGUGAGCCGGAGGCACAGCCCACUUCAGCACCUCAGCAUCGAGGAGGGGAAUUACAUCACCACAGCUCUGAUGAUGAAAAUCCUUCAGGAGAUGAACAGACUGGCUCCUCUCUAAACACAAGUCUGCAGCUAUACACACGUCUCUGCAGAGGACUAAUAGCCAAAGCUAAACAAUAAUUUAUCUUUCCUCCUCUUUUUAUUUGCAUCCCUAACAUUUGAAGUUGGUUCAACAUUCCUGACCACUUUUUCCUGACCACACUCGUUCGGAGCAAAGUGUGGAAACUGACUCAGGACAGAAUGUGUUUAGUCUAAACAACUGAACAGUGCACUUUACAGUACCAAGCUUCCAGGGACUGAGCGGGGAAAUGGAAAACUCAGAGACCUCCACGUGGGUGGCUUUGGUCAUUCAGAAUGAAUGGCUUUUAGUCAAGUUCAAAUACAGUUGCGACAGUAAAAGACUUCAAAAUCUAUGCUUAAAAAAUGACAGCGUUGUGGGGUGGUCAAUCUCUUCACUGACAUUGAAGGCAGAGAUGCAGAUAUUCAAUUUAGCUUGGCAGUUCAUGGUAUGGCAUAGGUUACAGAAAGCUUUCACAAUGUGCCACUUAUUUUGUUGGGUUUGGAGAGCUGUUCAGAUUGUUACAUUUUUCCAUUUCAAGUCUCCUUGGAGCAUAAGCAAACAGGAAUUAGAAUAAUAUUAAGUUUUAAGACUUUCCUCUGUGGACUAAUCAUAAAGUGACAGAAACACUAUGCUCAUAAAUCACGACACUAUAUGUUCAUUCAGUUGAUCUGGGUUGAGGUUUUAUGCGGACCCUUUGGCAGGAUGUUCAGAGAAUUAUCGGUUUUGCAAAUACAUAUAUACAUAUAUAUAUUUGCAAAAGCAAUCAUACAC